GCCUUCGUGGUGUAGUGGUCAGCACACUCGGCGCGUAUUCGAGAAGUCCGAGGUUCGAAUCCUGGUGAGAGCA
rnacentral:tRNA from 1 species